CCUACGGGAGACAGCAGUAGGGAAUUUUCGUCAAUGGGCGCAAGCCUGAACGAGCAAUGCCGCGUGAACGAGGAAGGUCUUCGGAUCGUAAAGUUCUGUUGAAGGGGAAAAAGAGCGGAGAGAGGAAAUGGUCUCCGAUUGAUAUUACCCUUCGAGGAAGUCACGGCUAACUACGUGCCAGCAGCCGCGGUAAUACGUAGGUGGCGAGCGUUAUCCGGAAUGAUUGGGCGUAAAGGGUGCGUAGGCGGCCUGCUAAGUCUGGAGUGAAAGGUACCGGCUCAACCAGUACAGGCUCUGGAAACUGGCGGGCUAGAGAGCAGGAGAGGGCGGUGGAACUCCAUGUGUAGCGGUAAAAUGCGUAGAUAUAUGGAAGAACACCAGUGGCGAAGGCGGCCGCCUGGCCUGUUACUGACGCUGAGGCACGAAAGCGUGGGGAGCAAAUAGGAUUAGAUACCCGGGUAGUC
rnacentral:rRNA from 1 species